rnacentral:lncRNA from 1 species
AAAUUGUAAAAAAAAAUUAUAAAUAUUUAUUUUUUAAAAUUUUUGAAAAUUUAUAUUUUAUUCUUUUAAUAUUUUAAAUUAUUUUUAUCUGAAUUUCAUCACUAUUCUAUCUAUUUUUUGAUAAUUUAUAUCAAAAAUAUUUUUUAAAAUAAUAAAAAUAUAUUAAUUUUUUUUAUAAAAAAAGUGAGUGUAAUUUGAUUAUUUUGCAUUCUCCAUUAAUGUUAUACUCUCUAAAAAUAUUUUGGAAAUCUUAAGAGGGCAAAAUGUAAUUUUUUUUAAAAUAAAAAUAAAUAAAAAAAUAUGUAUUUACAGAAAGUUUUCUAUAAUUUAACAUAAUACUAUGUCCACAAUAAAAAUUAUUAUUUAUACACUCCAAUGAAUAAAAAUUAACUACUAGUCAUAUUAAGUGAUCGGUGAAAAUAUUCCACUGAUUAGAUAGAUAGAAUAAAAAAUAUAUACCCUAAUUGGAAUAUAUAUAUGUAGCAUUGCUCUUCUAAAAUUAUG